AGGUUAGUAUGUGUUGUGUUGACUCAAGCGUGAGUAUGACUAGUAUCAAGUCAUUUGGUGUUGGACACUAAGACAAACACAUAGGUGCUCGAAAGAGUAAUCGAGUACACUGAACUACGAUCAAAAGAGAGUUCGAACAUGCAUGUCAUGUAUGAACUCUAAAGUUACAAUAUGCAAAGUAGUCCUUUGACCUGAGGCAUCAUAGAUGUCUAAUGGUUAGGUCCUUGAUCUUUGAUCAUGUCAAACGACAUUCCAUUGGAGUGUCCACGGCAUUGUUGGGGUCAAGCUAUCUAGUCAUGUAGGCAUAUGAAUGCACAACAAGGGAUCUCUAACCCUCCAUGGUGGAGGGAGAAUACUCUAAGAUAUGAUUCUAAAGUCUUUGGCCAAAGCAAAUGAAUAUGACUUAGGAAGUUUGUUCCAAAUCAUAUUCAAGGGAAUCAUAUAGGAAAUUAUCACAUUGGAUAGUAGACAUGAAACAAACUAUCACUUAAACAAUGUGAUUAAAGAGUAUUGUAUUAGAGAAGGACCGUAUUGCAUUGUAGUUGUAACUGGAUAGGUUCUCCAACCAAUUCUACUUAGCUUGGGUAACCAUGACAUACUGCUAGGUGUCACUCAUGGUUUGUGGAAGCCCAAAUGAUUAGGUAACACUAAUCAUUAAAGGGAGAAUUGAAAUGAAGUUUCAAUUCACAAAUCGAUAGUUAAGAGUAACAUCGCCCACUGCCUCGCUAAUUGGAA
rnacentral:lncRNA from 1 species